UCAGGAUGAACGCUAGCGGCAGGCUUAACACAUGCAAGUCGAGGGGCAUCGGGAGUAGCAAUACUGCCGGCGACCGGCGCAAGGGUGCGUAACGCGUGAGCAACAUGCCCGUAUCAGGGGGAUAAUCCAUGGAAACGUGGUCUAAUACCCCAUAGUAAUUAUGUAAGGCAUCUUAUAUAAUUUAAAGCUUUGGUGGAUACGGAUUGGCUCGCGUGACAUUAGCUGGAUGGUAAGGUAACGGCUUACCAUGGCUACGAUGUCUAGGGGUUCUGAGAGGAAGGUCCCCCACACUGGAACUGAGACACGGUCCAGACUCCUACGGGAGGCAGCAGUGAGGAAUAUUGGACAAUGGAUGGAAAUCUGAUCCAGCCAUGCCGCGUGCAGGAAGACGGCCCUAUGGGUUGUAAACUGCUUUUGUAUGGGAGCAAUAAGGGCUACGUGUAGUCCGAUGAGAGUACCAUACGAAUAAGCACCGGCUAACUCCGUGCCAGCCGCCGC
rnacentral:rRNA from 1 species